rnacentral:rRNA from 1 species
AACGAACGCUGGCGGCAUGCCUAACACAUGCAAGUCGAACGAGACCUUCGGGUCUAGUGGCGCACGGGUGCGUAACGCGUGGGAACCUGCACUUAGGUUCGGAAUAACUCCCCGAAAGGGGUGCUAAUACCGGAUAAUGUCUACGGACCAAAGAUUUAUCGACUUUGGAUGGGCACGCGUUGGAUUAGCUAGUUGGUAGGGUAAAAGCAUACCAAGGCGACGAUCCAUAGCUGGUAUGAGAGAAUGAUCAGCCACACUGGGACUGGGACACGGCCCAGACUCCUACGGGAGGCAGCAGUGGGGAAUAGUGGAAAGUGGCCGAAAGCCUGAUGCAGCUAUGCCGCGUGAGUGAUGAAGGCAUUAGGGUUGUAAAGCUCUUUUACCCGGGAUGAUAAUGACAGUACCGGGAGAAUAAGCUCCGGCUAACUACGUG